rnacentral:rRNA from 1 species
GAUGAACGCUGGCGGCGUGCCUAAUACAUGCAAGUAGAACGCUGAAGGAGGAGCUUGCUCUUCUGGAUGAGUUGCGAACGGGUGAGUAACGCGUAGGUAACCUGCCUGGUAGCGGGGGAUAACUAUUGGAAACGAUAGCUAAUACCGCAUGACAACAGUUAUUGCAUGAUAACUGUUUAAAAGGGGCAACUGCUCCACUACCAGAUGGACCUGCGUUGUAUUAGCUAGUUGGUGAGGUAACGGCUCACCAAGGCGACGAUACAUAGCCGACCUGAGAGGGGGGUCGGCCACACUGGGACUGAGACACGGCCCAGACUCCUACGGGAGGCAGCAGGAGGGAAUCUUCAGCAAUGGACGGAAGUCUGACCGAGCAACGCCGCGUGAGUGAAGAAGGGUUUCGGAUCGUAAAGCUCUGUUGUAAGAGAAGAACGAGUGUGAGAGUGGAAAGUUCACACUGUGACGGUAUCUUACCAGAAAGGGACGGCUAACUACGUG